CCUACGGGAGGCAGCAGUGAGGAAUAUUGGUCAAUGGGCGGAAGCCUGAACCAGCCAAGUAGCGUGCGGGAUGAAGGCCCUACGGGUCGUAAACCGCUUUUGCACGGGGAUAACACCCUCCACUUGUGGAGGUCUGCAGGUACCGUGCGAAUAAGGGCCGGCCAAUUCCGUGCCAGCAGCCGAGGUAAUACGGAAGGCCCGAGCGUUAUCCGGAUUCAUUGGGCUCAAAGGGAGCGUAGGCGGGCGUUUAAGUCAGCUGUAAAAUCGCGCGGAGCAACCGCGCCCCGCAGUUGAAACUGGAAGCCUUGAGUUCACAACAGGCAGGCGGAAUUGGUGGUGUAGCGGUGAAAUGCAUAGAUAUCACGAGGAACCCCGAUUGCGAAGGCAGCCUGCCGGGGUGCGACUGACGCUGAGGCUCGAAGGUGCGGGUAUCAAACAGGAUUAGAUACCCCUGUAGUC
rnacentral:rRNA from 1 species